rnacentral:tRNA from 1 species
UAAGUGUAGUAAAGACUUCUAAUCUUUAAAAAGCCUAAAGGCUACACUUAA